GUUAAACUAGAUAUUUUGAUAAGAAAGUAUUAUGGUUAUAAUCCUAUGAUAUAGACUAAGAUUGAACCCGUUUCUGGAACAGUUCUUGGAUUGUUUUAUUCUGUGAGAGAUUCGAGACUCUGUCCUGGUUCCAAUCGUAACCAUAUAACGGAAUUAUGAAACCUUGCUUCCUAAUCAUUUCAUAUUUUUCAUAUUUUAUUCAACUACAAAGCACGAGAUAAUACAAAUAAAAAAAUCACAAUUUA